rnacentral:pre_miRNA from 1 species
UUAACUCAAAUUUGUAAGGAGUUGGAACGUUUGCCUACGUUUGCCGCUAGGGGCGCUGUUCCAACUGCAUACAAAUCUGAGUUA